CCGAGCACAUGGACCCGCUGGUCGAGCGGACUCCCCAAGGCCAGGAUGAAGAGGAGCUGCGACCCAGCACCCUCAGAGCCCCCUGAGUGGAUAUCCACGCGGAAAGGAUGUUGGCAGCCCCGGUGACCUGGGAGUCACGGCCGGAUCCACCCUCCCGGUGUCAUACAUUCUAAGAUGGCCUCAAACUUACCGUGUAACUAAGGACAACCAUGGACUUCUGAUCCUUCCUCUUCUUGUUAAGUGCUGAGAUUAAAGGCCUGACCUUCUUAACAUGGCUAUGGUAAGAAGAUGUCCUCCAACAGGCUGUGCUUGCAGACUACAUGGAGCCUCUCUUGGGGAUUUUUCUGAACCCUGUGGAUUUACAGUAAGACCCAGUUUCCUAGGGAGUAAUGCUGGUGGAUGAAGAUUCUGGAAUAGCACACCUGCCUUGCCUUGGGAUGCUACAAGUGGCCCAAUGGAUUCUUCCAGCCUAGAUGCCCACUGGGGACAAGGACCAUAGCUGAGAGGACUGCAUCUCUACCCUUGACUCAAUGGGAAUGUCUGCUCUCAUCUCUUGGGCAACUUGGAGCUCCCUCUAACAUCGUACCCGUUAAGCAUUCCAGAAGGAUGCUGAGAAUCAUCUGUUUAUAAACAAAAGCUGGACUAUUUGAGGAUUUGGAAAUUUGAGGGUUUCUGCUGAUAAAUCUGCAGGUAUUCUUAAGGACAGCUCACCUGAAUAUGAUGAGAUCUCUACUUAAGAGAUGCCAAGUAACUCAACAGAAAUCACACAACUGAUAAAUAGCAAAGGUGGAUGUCUUCAGGCUGGAUGCCAUUCUAUAAGACAGUUGAGCUCUUCAGAGCUGAUAGGAUACUGAUGGGCUUGCAUAACAAUGAUAUUGGCCCUAAGAGAAUGAGAAACGCUUUGCAGAAGGCACAGAAGAUUCCUGAAACUGGGAAAUGUGCAUAGAAACUCAAAGAAGAGUGAAGAAAGCACUUUCCCUCCCCUCCCUGAGCAGGUCCCACCACACUCAACACUUUUCACCAGGGCUCUGGUCACCGCUGUGCUGUCCUCUUUCAAUUUGGCUUGAUGAAAUAUUAGUCUGGAAAUUUUACUUUCAAUUAAACUCACUUGUUGAACUGCCUCCACCUUCAAAGGAUUCCAUUAGGCUAAUUAUAGCUAUUGCUACAAGGCAUUAUUUGCACUCAAUUUCAGCUUUUAGGCAAUUCAGUUCAAAUGUUUUAUGUUUUUACCCUGCAGAGGUGAAUAUAGCCAUCAUCCUUCGUCUUUAGAAACCCCAAUUAAAACAGCAGUUUUGGAGGUGGCCAUGUCUACGGUAGCCUACUGUGGCUGGCCUUAUAUGCUGAUUAAAAACAACCAAAGACACAAUGCUGUACAGAGCAUGAAAGCCACCCCGUGUUUAUAGGGUUAAGUGUUUAGAAACUGCAAGUUGUCCUUUAUAUCAUGAUAUCUCUUUGCAAACUAAAGCCAAAGGCAGUGGAAAUUCCUUCCAAAUUGUAGAGAUUUGUCUUUCUGCUAAUUGUUGGCCAUAAUAUGGUGCUUUAAGACAUCAGCCAUAAAAAUAGUUUAGUGGAGAUUCUAUUUGAUGUCUGCAUUUCCCAUGAAAUAGAAAUUAUUUUCUCUUUUAUUUAUUAUUUCCCCGUAUGUGAGUACAUGUAGGCACUCACAGCUCAUAACACAGAUGGGGUCAAAAGAGCUUUCUGGAGUUGGUUUGCUCCUUCCUGUGAAUUCUGGAAUACAGCUCAGGAUCCUUAGUGUUUAAGCCAAGCACUUUUGCCCUCUAGGCCAUCUUUGGUCUGAGAUCACUUUCUUUGUAUUCUUAAUUCUAUCUUCUUUUCUUCUUGUGCCAGCAGACAUGUAGCCUAGCUCAUGCUUGCCAACCUCAUCUCUUUCCAUAAGAGUUAAGAACUCAGCUUGUGGGCAGGAUGUGUUCUGUAUCCCAUUACAUGCCUACCUCAUAGUAGGUGCUUGCAUGAUGAAUAGAUAGAUGGAUAAAUGAAUCCUCAAAGUAUGACUUUGAUUUUCUCCUUUCAAAAAUAUUUGUUACAUAAAUAUUAAAUGAUUACAUUCAUUUUAGGGGGGAAAAAAACCCCAGAACCUUUGCAAGAAGAUGGAGAUACUUCUAAUGUAUCUUUGCUAACCUUCACCUCCUCCUCAUCUCUGCAGAGAUUUGUCAUCAUUUUGGAGCACACUUUUGCAUGCCUUGCCUAUGCCUUUACGUAUACAUGCACACAGACAGCUCCAUAUAGACAGACUUGUGAGCAGAUUGCUUUGCCGUAUAUGUUUCUCACCCGGCAGUCUGUCAAGCCUGAUGACACAUAGGAGCCCUCUCUUUUUUCUUUUAGCUGUUACGGAUUAUCAUUGUGCUACGUGUAUUUGCCACCUUUGAUGUGAACCAAAUGAAUUCAUGUGCCUGCAGCUACGCACUCACCUGGGUAUAGCACACAGAGAUACCAGAUGCCAAUCCUGGAUGCUUUUUCUUAAGCACUGACUUACUAGCUGUCACAGCUAGGUAGUCAGCUCUCCCUCCCAUUUGCCACUUAGGUUAUGCUGGCUGGCCAGCAAGCCCCACAUGUCCUCCUGUCUUGGCCUACUGGCACUGGGAUUACAAUCUUCUAUCACCAUGUCCAGAUUUUUCACAUGGGUUCUGAUGAUAAUACUUAGGUUGUUAUAUUUGUAAAGCAAGUAUUUAUCAUCUGAGGCAUUUCCCCAUGCCCUCAAAUAAGCUUUUCUAUCGGUAUUUUCAGUCACUCUAUUUCCAGAUGCCUUCUUUUUUGUAACUUGAUCAGCUAGCCAUAGUAUCCUUUAGUAUUUACACCACAUUUCAUCAGUAUCAGUCAGGUACUUUUGGGAUAAUGCCAAAGAAGCAAACAGAAUUAUGCAAAGGUUUGAGGCUUGCCAGAGAGACCAAAUAUCACUUAUCCCAAAUCUAGGCCUUUGUGUCCCAAUUAUUCCAUAAGAGUAGACAUGAUAACUUAGGAUAAUUUCCUUUCCCUGGACGGUAUUUUUCAUCUGCACAGUGGGCUCAGGCAGCCUUUUGAAAGUAUUAGGAAGAAUAACAGAACUUCCAUAGUACAAAAAAUUUACCUGCAAAAUACCUCAGUCACUGUCCUUCUACUGUGUGUUGGAUGGGGAAAGACACCAGAGCCCCGGGCUUAGCUGACACAGCACAUAGUCUACUAUAAGCCCCAAAAUGUUGCCUCUAUAUUUGACUCUUCUUUCUAAAUAUUUUGCCAUCAUUGAUAAAGAAUUUUUGUUUGGUUUGUUAAGUUUGGUUAAAUGUUACAUAUUAUAUUCUUUUUACAUUCAUAUCCACCCUAUUCUCUAUGUCUCCAAUUCUUGUCAAACUCCUUCCUUCCCAAAACUCCUUUCUCCAUUUACGUGUCUUUAUUUUGCCUUGUGACCCACUCUGUUUAACCAAGUCUGUCUUUGUAGCCACAAAUUUCCAACUAUUGGCUGGAGCCUGGUGGACCCACUGUGACUACCUGACUCUUCACAAUGUCUGCCCUUCUCUUGGAGUUCUGCAGGAUAGGAUAUGGGUCCUUAGAAUCUCUAAACCAUCCAUGAUUGACUGAUGAUAGCUCAGUUUUGUAAGGGCCAGUAUAGGCAACUGUAGCUGCUGUGCAAUCAUGAUUCAAUGUUUGUGUCAUGCCGUAACAAUAGCAUUCACAGCACUUUUCUGUGUUUUCUGCCUCUUACAUGUUUUUCAUUCCAUCUUCUGUGACAUUCCUGAGUCACAGAGGAGGGUACUACUAUAACUCUCCUGAGCACUAAGCCAUUAUGUAUUCCUAGAACCCUUUGAAACCAAGAAUAUCUGUAUUUAUCACAGUUCAUUGCAAAGAAAAGCUUCUCUGAUUAAUGCUGGGCAUAGCAUUUACCUACUAGUUUAGAUGAGGGAGGGGGUUACAGCUGGGAUACAAAGUGAAUACAUUGUAAUAAAUAGGUAAAAAAUAAAUUUAAAAAGUGGUUGGACUCCAUGUCACUUUAAAUAAAUAACUGUAGGAAGGUUCCCUGUCUACCCUAAGACCUGAGUGAUAUGGACCUCUGUGAAGCAGGUCUCAAGUUCAGUCAGGAGUAGUUGGUUAGCGAUAUAUCAGUCAUGCCACAAUUGUACCAGCAGGUGCAACUAGCAGAUUGAUAUUGUAGUUCAUGGGAGUCACAGAUGAGUAAAAAAACAUGUUUUUUUUUUUUUUUUUCUUUCUCAGCACCUUGUAUAACACCUAUCAGCAAUACGAAAGCUAUCCAACAGAAAGGAAAACUUCACUUCACUUACAGCUUAAUUUAUCUUCAUGUCAUUACUGAGGUGUGUGUUAUCUUCAGCAUUAGUAUUGACUAGUUCUGGUGAGCAACCAAUAGCAAGAGCUUCCUUAACAAGGAAACACAUAGUGAUGGAUCUCACGUCUGUCAUAGUCAUGGUGCUUUUCAUUUAAAAAAAAACCAUUGCUUUCAUUGCAACCAUCCUGAAGAUACCUGAUAAACUAGAGCCAGACAGAAGGAGAGGAGGACACCCCCUCUCAGUGGACUCUGAAUGGGGCAGGGAGGAAAUGAGGGAGGGAGGGGAGGAGUGGGAGGGAAAAAGGGAGUGGGCUACAGCUGGGAUACAAGUGAAUGUAUAAAAUUAUUUAAAAA